GCAGGAGGACGGCCUCCCCCAGCGUGGGAACAAUAACCGGGACGGCCCGG
rnacentral:ncRNA from 1 species